UUGAACGCUGGCGGUAUGCUUAACACAUGCAAGUCGAACGGAAACGAUGGAAGCUUGCUUCCAGGCGUCGAGUGGCGGACGGGUGAGUAACGCGUAGGAAUCUGCCAGAUAGUGGGGGAUAGCCCGGAGAAAUCCGGAUUAAUACCGCAUAAUCUCCAUGGAGUAAAGAGGGCCUCUAUUUAUAAGCUUUCGCUAUCUGAUGAGCCUGCGUAAGAUUAGCUAGUUGGUGGGGUAAUGGCCUACCAAGGCGACGAUCUUUAGCUGGUCUGAGAGGAUGAUCAGCCACACUGGGACUGAGACACGGCCCAGACUCCUACGGGAGGCAGCAGUGGGGAAUAUUGGACAAUGGGGGCAACCCUGAUCCAGCAAUACCGCGUGUGUGAAGAAGGCCUGAGGGUUGUAAAGCACUUUCAAUUGUGAAGAAAAGUUAAUAGUUAAUACCUAUUAGCCUUGACGUUAACUUUAGAAGAAGCACCGGCUAACUCCGUGCCAGCAGCCGCGGUAAUACGGAGGGUGCAAGCGUUAAUCGGAAUUACUGGGCGUAAAGCGUGCGUAGGCGGUUGACUAAGUCAGAUGUGAAAGCCCCGGGCUUAACCUGGGAACUGCAUUUGAAACUGGUCAACUAGAGUAUGGUAGAGGAAAGUGGAAUUUCUGGUGUAGCGGUGAAAUGCGUAGAUAUCAGAAGGAACAUCGAUGGCGAAGGCAGCUUUCUGGACCAAUACUGACGCUGAGGUACGAAAGCGUGGGUAGCAAACAGGAUUAGAUACCCUGGUAGUCCACGCCGUAAACGAUGAUAACUAGCCGUUGGGAGGGUUUACCUCUUA
rnacentral:rRNA from 1 species